rnacentral:rRNA from 1 species
GACGAACGUUGGCGGCGUGCUUAAUACAUGCAAGUCAACUGAAGCAGUGGUAGCAAUAUCGCUGUGGAGGUGGCGCACGGGUGAGUAACACGUAGGUAAUCUGCCUUCAGGUCUGGCAUAACUCCGGGAAACCGGGGCUAAUAGCAGAUGAUGCAGCGGCUCGACAUCGAGACAGUUGCUAAAGCUAUGGCGCCUGAAGAUGAGCCUGCGUCUGAUUAGCUAGUUGGCGGGGUAACGGCCCACCAAGGCAACGAUCAGUAGCUGGUCUGAGAGGAUGAUCAGCCACACUGGAACUGAGACACGGUCCGGACUCCUACGGGAGGCAGCAGUAAGGAAUAUUGCUCAAUGGGAGAAAUCCUGAAGCAGCAACGCCGCGUGAGGGACGAAGGGCUUUUGCUUGUAAACCUCUGUAGUGAGAGAAAAAAAUCCCAAUCUUUGGGACAUGAUGGUAUCUCAAAAGUAAGCCCCGGCUAACUACGUG